UCCUGCCAGGCUGGGGUGUGGGGAGCAGGGGCUCCUGUCCCAGCUCACCCUGCGUGUGAGGAAGGCAUUGCCUGCCUCUGCUCUGAGUGGGCAAAGGAGAGGAAAUUUUAAUAAGAAAGAGGAGUUCAAGUCUAUCUGUAAUAGUCAGAUAUUGAGGAUUUAUGCUAUUACAGGCUACACAGAGCCUUAAACUUGCAAAAGGGAUUUGUGAGCAGCCUGCUUGUCAAGAACAAAUACUAGUCAAAAGAAAUGUGUGACUUAUUGACCUUGGGUUCACUGAACCUUCAUCUUGAUGCUUCCGUACCUCUAAGGAAUCAGCUCCUCUGAAAAUUAAAGUUCCCAGAUUAGAAUAGAAGCUUCAACAAAGGACCUGUGUGGCUUUACAAAUACACAUCGAUUAGAGGACUUUGGAAGAGCUUUGUUAGAAAAGUGGAAUUAUGAAAAGCAAAUGUUUGAGAGAUUUGGUGCAGAGUAACAGCUGUACCUUCCCUCUGGUGUGCUGGGUGACUCCUCUACCUCAUGACCCCAGUUGUCUGUGGGCAAACACACAAAUGGACAAGAGGAGGAGGGAGCUGUGCCCUGCUUGGGCAGUGUCUGCACAGCUCUGGGGAGGCUGUGGAGGAUGCAGGCAGUGUGCAUUACUCCCUGGAAAGGAUCCUGCAGCAUCAGCUCCCUCCGUGCUCCAGACAGAUGAUAACUGGCCACGUGCAUGGCAGAGUAAUUGUGUGGGGUGCAGGACUCUACUUGUUAAACCCACGGACAUGAAGCUCACCAGGAAACUGUCUCAGCAAUAACUCUGGUGCUGGAUGAUGAGUAAGGAACAGUGUGUUUGAGAGUGUUCAUGUAUCUCAUGGGCAGUGGCUGGAUGCUGUAAGCAGAUAGAGCAGUUACCAAGGCAUUUGUCUGAAACUGCACAAUGCAAGGAUGGUGUGAGUGGGAGGCAGAGAAUGGAGACAGGGGCAGAGGUGAUGCCCAGGGAGCAGCGUGGACAACUCAGCUGGAGCUGAAGGCUGCCCAGUGGGUGCUGUGGGCUCCCGGCUGCACCCCUUGCUGUGUCACCCUGCUUGGGGAGGAGGGCACUGUUUGUGGAGCCAGAACUGAGCAGCUGCAGCCUGGCCCAGGGACCAGGGGCACAGGUGGCACUGAUGGCACUGGCACAGGUGCCACUGGCAGCACUGGCACAGGUGGCACUGGCAGCUCCUCUGGUGGAUCCACAGCAGCUUCCCUGGGUCAGCCCAGCUGCACCAGUUCCCCUCAGUGGGUUUGGCCCCACAGGGCAGCUGGCAGGGCUGGGGUCUGGCUCAGAGCUGGGGGGCACAGCAGCUCUGAGUGCCCUGCCCAGCUCCUCCCCUUCCUAGUGCUCAUUAAUCCUUUACUCAUAAAAGCAUAGAAUUAGUAAGGUUGGAAUUAAAUCUUUUCAGGCCCUCCUCUGUCAAGAACGUUUCUAAUGUCUUUUAUUUCCUUUCUAAUUUAAUUUAACUGGAAAAAGCACUUUUUUUUUUCUUCUUAUUUCUCUAUUCCUUUAUGAUUAGGGAAAACCCCAUCUAGUAAGUCUAAAUGCUUCUACCAUGGAAAUAUUUAGUACCAGCUCUGGCAUAUUUAUGUUGGCUCCCUGAUUAGACAAUGUGCCAAGCUGUCCUUCGUGGCCUUAAUUAUCACAACUUCAGGCCAGCAUUGCCUGCUUACAGCAUAAUCCCACGGCCCAGAGUGAACCCUGAAAAUGCUUAAUUAAAUGACAUUCCACAACAGAUUAAGGAGUCAGAAGCCCAAGAUAAAGGAAAAGGGAGACUGUGACCAUAGGAGUGGCAGGUGCUCUUCCUUCUCAGAAUAAUGCUCCUGACAUGGACUGUUUAGUUUUGAGCACAUUAAAAAAACCAAUGUUAUUUGGU